GCGUGAGUGAUGAAGGCCCUAGGGUUGUAAAGCUCUUUUGCCGGGGAAGAUAAUGACGGUACCCGGAGAAUAAGACACGGCUAACUUCGUGCCAGCAGCCGCGGUAAUACGAAGGUGUCUAGCGUUGUUCGGAAUCACUGGGCGUAAAGCGCGCGCAGGCGGACUAUCCAGUCAGGGGUGAAAUCCUGAGGCUUAACCUCAGAAUUGCCUUUGAAACUGAUAGUCUGGAGUGUGUGAGGGGGUAGCGGAAUUCCAAAUGUAGAGGUGAAAUUCGU
rnacentral:rRNA from 1 species